GCGUGACGGGGUCAUCCCGAGUGCCGUCUGCUGAGGAUGGCUUUUCCCUAGUGUAGAUAGCUAGGGGAAUAAGGAGAGGGCAAGUCUGGUGUCAGCCGCCGCGGUAAUACCAGCUCUCCGAGUGGUGUGGAUGUUUAUUGGGCCUAAAGCAUCCGUAGCUGGCUGGGCAAGUCCCCUGUUAAAUCCAACGAUUUAAUCGCUGGCCUGCGGGGGAUACUGUCCGGCUUGGAGACGAGAGAGGCCGACGGUAUUCUCAGGGUAGGGGUGAAAUCCUAUAAUCCCGGGAAGACCACCAGUGGCGAAGGCUGUCGGCUAGAGCGCGCUCGACGGUGAGGGAUGAAAGCUGGGGGAGCGAACCGGAUUAGAUACCCGGGUAGUCCCAGCCGUAAACGAUGCAGGCUAGGUGUUAGGGCGGCUACGCGCCGCUCUAGUGCCGCAGGGAAACUGUUUAGCCUGCCGCCUGGGGAGUACGGCUGCAAGGCUGAAACUUAAAGGAAUUGGCGGGGGAGCACCACAAGGGGUGAAGCUUGCGGUUUAAUUGGAGUCAACGCCGGAAAUCUCACCGGGGGCGACAGCAGGAUGAAA
rnacentral:rRNA from 1 species